rnacentral:rRNA from 1 species
GACGUAGGGCGCGAGCGUUGUCCGGAUUUAUUGGGCGUAAAGAGCUCGUAGGCGGCUUGUCGCGUCGUCCGUGAAAACUUGGGGCUCAACCCCAAGCUUGCGGUCGAUACGGGCAGGCUAGAGUUCGGUAGGGGAGACUGGAAUUCCUGGUGUAGCGGUGAAAUGCGCAGAUAUCGGGAGGAACACCGGUGGCGAAGGCGGCCCCCUGGUUGGAUACUGACGCUGAGACGCGAAAGCGUGGGGAGCAAACAGG